UGGGGAAUAUUGCACAAUGGAGGGAACUCUGAUGCAGCGACGCCGCGUGAGUGAUGAAGGAAUUCGUUUCGUAAAACUCUGUUCUAUGGGAAGAAAAGGACUGUACCAUAGGAGAAAGCUCCGGCUAAUUACGUGCCAGCAGCCGCGGUAAUACGUAUGGAGCGAGCGUUGUCCGGAAUUAUUGGGCGUAAAGGGUGCGCAGGCGGCUUUACAAGUUGGAUGUGAAAUAUUGUGGCUCAACCACAAACGUGCAUCCAAAACUGCAAAGCUUGAGUUAAGGAGAGGUAAGUGGAAUUCCUGGUGUAGCGGUGGAAUGCGUAGAUAUCAGGAGGAAUACCGGUGGCGAAGGCGACUUACUGGACUUAAACUGACGCUCAGGCACGAAAGCGUGGGGAGCAAACAGG
rnacentral:rRNA from 1 species